AUUGAACGCUGGCGGCAUGCUUUACACAUGCAAGUCGAACGGCAGCACGGGCUUCGGCCUGGUGGCGAGUGGCGAACGGGUGAGUAAUAUAUCGGAACGUACCCAGAAGUGGGGGAUAACGUAGCGAAAGUUACGCUAAUACCGCAUACGAUCUAUGGAUGAAAGCAGGGGACCGCAAGGCCUUGUGCUCCUGGAGCGGCCGAUAUCUGAUUAGCUAGUUGGUGAGGUAAAGGCUCACCAAGGCGACGAUCAGUAGCUGGUCUGAGAGGACGACCAGCCACACUGGAACUGAGACACGGUCCAGACUCCUACGGGAGGCAGCAGUGGGGAAUUUUGGACAAUGGGCGCAAGCCUGAUCCAGCAAUGCCGCGUGAGUGAAGAAGGCCUUCGGGUUGUAAAGCUCUUUUGUCAAGGAAGAAACGGUAGAGGCUAAUAUCCUUUGCUAAUGACGGUACCUGAAGAAUAAGCACCGGCUAACUACGUG
rnacentral:rRNA from 1 species